UACGUAGGGUGCAAGCGUUGUCCGGAAUUAUUGGGCGUAAAGAGCUCGUAGGCGGUCUGUCGCGUCGGCUGUGAAAACCCGGAGCUCAACUCCGGGCCUGCAGUCGAUACGGGCAGACUGGAGUUCGGCAGGGGAGACUGGAAUUCCUGGUGUAGCGGUGAAAUGCGCAGAUAUCAGGAGGAACACCGGUGGCGAAGGCGGGUCUCUGGGCUGAUACUGACGCUCAUGCACGAAAGCGUGGGGAGCAAACAGG
rnacentral:rRNA from 1 species